rnacentral:lncRNA from 1 species
CGGAGAGUUCGGUUUUUUGCAAAAAAUACUCCCACCAUUCUCUCUGUAUAUAUCUAUUUCUAGAUAAGAGAUUAAGAGAUAAAAGAUUAAGGUUCGAUGACAAACAUGUAUGAUACGUUCAAAUAAAUAAGAAAAUGUUACGGUGAGACGGUGGCGUUGGGUUCUUGAAUAUAACAUAAGGAGAUAUCCCCAUAGAAAAUAAUUGAUAGGAAAUAUAAUUCUGCAAAAAAAACUUUUAUGGAUACUUAUAUCAUAAUAUCACAAACAUUUUAGAUUUCGAAAAUAUUUAUAGUUUGGAACCGGAGGAUUAGAAGGGAAAAUAGAAAAUACUGAAAUAAAAUAGAAAAAUGGCUCCAAAUGCACUAUCACCUCCUCCGAUGCUUCGCCCGGCCGCGCUGGCCGCGGACUCCUGCGGCGCCGGCCACUGCCCGCCGCCCCACCACCGGCCGGCUGCCGUAGCUUGAUCCAUGGUCCGCCACCCCUCCCGGCGCCAACCUCCCUUUCCCAGCCGCCACCCUUCACUGGCCCAAAUCUUCGCCGGCCGGGAACCUUCAAUGGCCCAAAUCAUCGCUCGCUGGAAUCUAGCCGCCGCCGUCUCGAGUAGCCACACGCAUCGAUGUGAAUCUAUCCAGGAUCUAAACCGCAGAGCGCGUCAAGGCCACGGCGGUUGAUCGAAGGGCCACCAAAUGUGCGUCAACAAGUUCAGGAAUAGACUGCAUGCUUGUGCACAUGAGGUAAUUUUUUUUAAUUCCAGAUAAACGAAUUACCACCAUUGAAUUUCGUAAAACUAUGGGAAUUUUGAAAUUUCUCUCGCUAUGAUACGUGAUGAUUUUCUGUGACCCCAAUUAUCCGGUUGGAAAUUAGGUUAAUGUGUGAUGCACAGUGCGUUUGACUUGACGGUAUGUACUAACAGGGAAAAAAAAACUAAUUUGAUUACUAGGAAUGAGAGAAGUGUCACUUUAGGUUUUUGUUGUUGCAACAGAUGCAGAAACAAUGGCAACAAGCAUGAUUUCUUUGAUGUUUUCAUUACUUCACACACAGUGACAAGAAAAAUCAUUAACAAGCUGUACCUAGUACCGAUUUUACCUUUUCUCCUUAGGUUGCACAACAUUGCCUUUGGUCACGAAUCAACCCCAGUGUAUUGCUCCCAACUCUUCAAGCAUGAUCGCUCCUGUUGUUUUCAUGCUGACAUUGGGAUCGAUGGAUUUACUUAUUUAAAGAUUCGAAGAGCGAAAAAGUACCACAUGCUCAUUUUCAUUGAAAAUGAAGCAAAGUAAUGUUUACAGACCAGACAAAUCCAUGAAAAUCACUCAAAAGCUACAUAUGCAGCUCAACAACUGCUAAGAACACUUCAAGAAAAAGAAACAUAACCCUGAAUAAAAGCACACCCACUCACCUGUCAUCAAGAACACAACGUCAGCCAAUCUCCGGAAAAAUCCCCAGAACAUACAGAACCAAAUAUACUGUUCAUACAUGUGGUACUGUAUUUCGAGACCAGUGGACCACUAGAGAAUAAACAUAGCACAUUCUCCUUCUGUUAUACCACCUCGACACCAUCUUGAGGAUCAUACCGGAGUUUAAGGUGUUUUCUGCCUUUUAAUCUCAAUGUGCAACAUCUGAUGUCUAAUCUUCGAAGGUGGGACACUGCUCCUUCUGUAAAUAUCACUGUUUUCAGCUUGGGUAGCUUAGAAAUCUCCAGGGUGUUGAGCGCUCUGAAGGAUUUUGCAUAAAAAACCAAUGUAUCGCUAACAUAUGAAUUGUCUAGGAGAGCAAGCAUGACCAAGCAAGGUAGUUUCUCAAGGGACAUUAUAUCACUCUGCUGGAGAUUAGUCCUACAAAGUUUAACCACUUCAAGUGUCAAUGAGUUAGAAAUCCAGUAUGGCAUUUUUCCGAUAUGACCAUCAAGCUUUAUGCUUUGGAGGCAUGGAAACUGCAGUGGCCUCUUCUUUUUCUUUUCAGAGAUGGGCAGACAAGCAAGUGUUCCAUCAUUUCGGCAUGCUCCAAGAUACAAAUAGAUCAGCGAAGAAGAAAUAUUUUUGAGGGUUUUGGAGAUUUCUUUGCUGUUCCUAACUGUAAUGCCUGUCAAUCCAAGGUGCUUCAGUCUAGGAAGCUUCCCCAAAGCUUUGAUUUUUGAGCCACAGCUGUCCUUGAUAUCCACAAUAUCCAGCCAUUCUAUGUCCUGCAGGUUCUCUAUUCCUUUAGGCACAGUUACUGCUGAAUCACAGCAGCAUUGUUUCCAUUUGUUGUGACAACAAUCUUCUGCUCUUCUGCUAGCACGAAGGGAGUAUAGCCUGCCAAGUCGAACAACCUCACUAGUAAGUUUUGUGAUGCAUGUCUUCCUCACAUUUAGUAGUUCUAGGAAUGGGAGCAUGCCGAUCGAUGAAGGAAGCUCACAAAUAUUUGAUUUGUAAAGAUUUAGGUACCUCAAGUGACACAGUUCUCCAACACGCCGUAUGUCUCUUUGAGUAAUUUGAAAGCUGGCAUUUGACAAAUCCAAAACUCGUAGAGCUCUUAGUUGAGAAGAGCAAAUAAUUUCAGCAAUGGAUUCUGAUGGUUCACUGAACACUGUUAGUGACCUGAUGCCAGAAAAUUCCACACAUCUAGCUAACUUCCUGUCACUCUGACCAUCAAGUGUCAGAUGGCGCAUCCGCUUUACUAGCAAACUGGAACUCUGUCUUGCACCAAUGGUGACUGAGACUUUCUCCUCUUGUGCAAUCAUGACUAGAAUAUCUCGCAUCAUGGGAUGGAUCCUGCAUGUCUUACAUGAUCUGUUCUUAGUUUGGACAGCAACAAUCAUGCUUCGAUCAAGGAGCUCAGAAAAAUAUCCUUGUGCAACAGCCCUGAGACUCAUACCGGUUCUUUCCCUCACAAGCCCUUCAGCUAACCAUCGCUCUACAACAGUUUCCACAUUGAUGUGAGAAUCCUCUGGGAAAAUGCUCAGGUAUAAGAAGCAUGGCCUGAGAUAAGGUGGUAGAUUUCUGUAGCUCCGGAUCAUUACUUUCCUAAUUUCAUUGAGGCUGGGGUCAUUGUAGAGCAACGAAGGAAGAUCAUCACAUAGUUUUCCCCAUUUGCGAGGAGAAUUUGAGGCAAGUAACUUCGCCACAGUUUCUAUAGCCAAUUCUAGGCCACUGCAUUUUCUCAGUAUUUGUGCAAUUGUGUUGAAGAGUGGCUCAGGUAACUUGAGGCUGUCUAGGUCCAGCUCUUCAAAGUCUUUUUUAUCUUCAGGACUCAUUUUUGAAUUUUCGGAUUGAAGAAUCGAAUCCUUCAAAAGCUGAAAUGAUUUCUGAUCUGAUAACAGGGGGAGACGAUGAACACGAUUAAAUGACCCCGUGCAGUCCUCUGCAACAUGAAAAAUCUCUGUUGUCACAAUGAUCCUGCUGCCACUUUUGCCAACUUGAGGGAGUGCCCUUUUGAUGCUAUACCAUGCUCUUGUCGUCCACAAAUCAUCAAAAACAAGCAAAAACUGCUUUCCUUCUAGUUUUCCUUGAAUUUGGCGGGCUAACUCGUCUUCAUCACCAAUAUGUUUACCUUUGCGUGCAGAAGCAUCAGAGAGUUGUGCAAUCAUAUCCAUGAACACCUUCGUGAUACUCUCAGCUUGCGACACCUUGAUCCACACACGGUAUUCAAAAUUUUUAAUAGUUCUCUUAUCCUCGUAUAUCUCGCGAGCACGAGUUGUCUUGCCGGAGCCACACAUGCCAACCAUUGCAGCCACUUUGAGAUUCCUGGUUUCCUCGUUUGAUGUAGGUACUUUGGAAGGUUCAUCCCAUGGGACCACCUCUUUCUUCCAAUCAUCAUAGGUAUCUAUUUCAGUAGAAACUUUCAGAGAGCGAGACCACACACCGCCCAAGACCACCAUUAAAUUCAAAUGAUUGUUGAUGGGUUGGUCAGCAGUGACCAGAUUGUAACGCCUAUUUCGCUCGCUCACCUCAACAAUCCUUGAUUUGAGAUCAUUUAACUUGACAGCGAAAGGACGAAGAACUCUAUAAUUCGUUAUAUAUUGUGACCAACUUGAACUUUGAGUAGUGAGGGCUGUAAAUCUUGUCUCAAGGCAAUCCUCCAUAUCAUAAGCCAAAUCCUUCACUUGCUCUGCCCAAACCCUGGCCAUCUGAUACUUUGGGGAAUCCUCCUUCAUGUUUUCAACAACACCAAGAAAUGCUCCAAUUGUUUCAAGCUCAUCCAUGACGAACCUGCCAGGUGAAAACAACUGAUGUCUCUCAGUGUCCAACUCUUUUGUAGAUUUCACAAGCAUCAAUAAAAAAGUUUACACUACAUAAAAAUUGUAUAAUUUCUCUAAUUUACCAUAAAUUUUAUCGAUUCAAUUGUUCUUAUUCUAAGGUUUCUUUCAUUUAGUUUGCCUAGUUUUAUGUAUUGACUUGUUUCAGUAAGCAUUGGUCCCCGUGAUAGGGUGAGUAGCUUCACUUCCCUUCCCUCUAGUCAUCCUAAGCCCCAGUUAAAGCUCACCGCCAGCAAGCUGAAUCGAGCCACAUUGCUAUUCUUUUCCUUUUUUCUCUCUCUAUUGCUAAAUAACUAGUAUUAGAGCAUCAUUAGUUUCUAUUAAGUCUCUUGUUUAAAUCUUGAGUCACUGACACACCCACUACUACUAGGGAUGAAUACAAAUUAGCUCAGCCUCUACCCAGCUCAGCUUGCUAAAACUUGGUAACAAACUUGCUUGGUCUCUUUAAGAUAGCUGAGCUGAAAGUGAAGUUCACCUCAGCUUGUUAAAAGGCUCGAGCUAACUUGUUGUUAUGAUACCAUUAAUAAUUAAUAACACAUUAUUACUAUUGUGUGAUGUAACAUGUUUUAGUCCUAUAGGUUAUCUUGUGUACUUAUAUAUGUAGUUAUUAUUAUAUAUUUGAAAAAUGGCCAUUCAGAUGACUAAGUCCAAUUGAAAUAAAUGAAAAUUUAAUCUGAAAUUAUGUUCGGUAUGACUCGAUUCAUAUUGUAUAUUCAAAUUUAUCUAAACUUGCAUGUGAUGGACGCAAUGAGUUAUUAGUUAUUACACUAAACCUACUCCGUAUUUAUUUUUAGCCUUUCGUAAAAAAAUAAUUUUUAGAGUUUAUGGACAUAGAUGACACCCAAUGAUAAGUUUAAACCACUGGUGCUUUACUUUAUUUAAUAUAUUUGUCUGGUUUGGUCAUAAUAUGUGUCCUUUUAGUGCCUCGUAAGCAGGGCUUUUUAAGGGACCAAGAUGGGAUGAAGGCUCAGCUUAGCUCAUCUUCAUUAGUGACUUAGUCUGGUCAAGCUGAGCCAGUUCGUAUAGUGGUCGAAUUUUUUAGAGACCUGCCCACUGCACAAUAAAAUUCUAUGUAAACAUUCCACUGUAGAGCUGGUCCUGCAACCUUUAAAAACAUACAAAAUAGGAUUUCUUUUAGAAAGAUAAAUAGAAAAGACAUUGAAGGUCAUGUGUAGUGUUUUCCCUUCUCUUUUUAGGUUUUCUCCACUAAACUCUGGUUAUUUCGAUUUCCUCUUACGAAAUGCAUUAAGUUUGUGAAACGUGAAGCUGCUAGCACUAUUUGGUUCUCUGUACUAACAGUGGACAUUCUGGGAUCUUUUGGAGAAAAAUCCAAAGUCGUAGUUUCUUUUCUACUCCAAAUGUGCUAUUUCUACAAGACCUUAGUUAGUAGACCUUGUCUUCCUAUUUCUGCAUUGUACAUGCCUCAAAUAUUGUCAAAUUUUAUCCUUUAUUAUCUCUAGCUGGAGAUGGCUCAAAAAUGUUCCAGAGUCACUUCUGGAUCACUACUCUCCUAUAUGCCAUUGUGACAUGCUCUAGUAGCCAAACCGUUCAUUGAUGAAAAAAAAAUGAUGCUAAUUGGUCUCACUUGUGUUGGCACAUUCCAGGAACCGAUGGAGCUCAUGACGUUCAUCAAGAAAGCAAUCGAGGAACCAUGGCCGGAUCGGAUAGAAUGGCGUGUGUUGCGUUGCGUACCUGGUGUUCUCCGACUCGCUCUGCUGCAAGGCCACCUCCUUCUCCACCUGCGUCGAGAUGGUCUGGAUCAAACGUGCCACCAAACCCACGGCGAUCUCUGCCAUCUCCCUCCCUGAUCGAGCUAAACAAGAUUGAUUUUUUCGGAGGAUUUUAAGGUAAAACUGCAACCCAAACUAACCCCCUGGUAGAUAUAUACAGUAUGUGUUGGGCAAUCAAGCUUGAUUUCCUACGCUGUUAGGAGUACAUAUAUAUGCUACUGUCCUACUGGACAUUCAUGUAUGUUAGUAUUAUUAUAUCAAAUCCAAGCCUACCAUAAUUGUCUUCAACUCUUGGUUAUCAGUGGCAGCACAUCUCUCGAUGGAUCACGCAUUUUCUGUAUAGAGUCAACAGCAUCGAGAGAAUAACAAUGAACACGAAUGGUGCAAAUAUAUAUUUCUUUUGUUUGCCAUGCAUGAUUCCAGAAGUAUACUGCCUC